rnacentral:rRNA from 1 species
GUUAAGCGACUAAGCGUACACGGUGGAUGCCCUGGCAGUCAGAGGCGAUGAAGGACGUGCUAAUCUGCGAUAAGCGUCGGUGAGGUGAUAUGAACCGUUAUAACCGGCGAUUUCCGAAUGGGGAAACCCAGUGUGUUUCGACACACUAUCAUUAACUGAAUCCAUAGGUUAAUGAGGCGAACCGGGGGAACUGAAACAUCUAAGUACCCCGAGGAAAAGAAAUCAACCGAGAUUCCCCCAGUAGCGGCGAGCGAACGGGGAGGAGCCCAGAGCCUGAAUCAGUGUGUGUGUUAGUGGAAGCGUCUGGAAAGGCGUGCGAUACAGGGUGACAGCCCCGUACACAAAAAUGCACAUAUUGUGAGCUCGAUGAGUAGGGCGGGACACGUGGUAUCCUGUCUGAAUAUGGGGGGACCAUCCUCCAAGGCUAAAUACUCCUGACUGACCGAUAGUGAACCAGUACCGUGAGGGAAAGGCGAAAAGAACCCCGGCGAGGGGAGUGAAAAAGAACCUGAAACCGUGUACGUACAAGCAGUGGGAGCCUCUUAAUGGGGUGACUGCGUACCUUUUGUAUAAUGGGUCAGCGACUUAUAUUCUGUAGCAAGGUUAACCGAAUAGGGGAGCCGAAGGGAAACCGAGUCUUAACUGGGCGUUAAGUUGCAGGGUAUAGACCCGAAACCCGGUGAUCUAGCCAUGGGCAGGUUGAAGGUUGGGUAACACUAACUGGAGGACCGAACCGACUAAUGUUGAAAAAUUAGCGGAUGACUUGUGGCUGGGGGUGAAAGGCCAAUCAAACCGGGAGAUAGCUGGUUCUCCCCGAAAGCUAUUUAGGUAGCGCCUCGUGAAUUCAUCUCCGGGGGUAGAGCACUGUUUCGGCAAGGGGGUCAUCCCGACUUACCAACCCGAUGCAAACUGCGAAUACCGGAGAAUGUUAUCACGGGAGACACACGGCGGGUGCUAACGUCCGUCGUGAAGAGGGAAACAACCCAGACCGCCAGCUAAGGUCCCAAAGUCAUGGUUAAGUGGGAAACGAUGUGGGAAGGCCCAGACAGCCAGGAUGUUGGCUUAGAAGCAGCCAUCAUUUAAAGAAAGCGUAAUAGCUCACUGGUCGAGUCGGCCUGCGCGGAAGAUGUAACGGGGCUAAACCAUGCACCGAAGCUGCGGCAGCGACACUAUGUGUUGUUGGGUAGGGGAGCGUUCUGUAAGCCUGUGAAGGUGGCCUGUGAGGGUUGCUGGAGGUAUCAGAAGUGCGAAUGCUGACAUAAGUAACGAUAAAGCGGGUGAAAAGCCCGCUCGCCGGAAGACCAAGGGUUCCUGUCCAACGUUAAUCGGGGCAGGGUGAGUCGACCCCUAAGGCGAGGCCGAAAGGCGUAGUCGAUGGGAAACAGGUUAAUAUUCCUGUACUUGGUGUUACUGCGAAGGGGGGACGGAGAAGGCUAUGUUGGCCGGGCGACGGUUGUCCCGGUUUAAGCGUGUAGGCUGGUUUUCCAGGCAAAUCCGGAAAACCAAGGCUGAGGCGUGAUGACGAGGCACUACGGUGCUGAAGCGACAAAUGCCCUGCUUCCAGGAAAAGCCUCUAAGCAUCAGGUAACAUCAAAUCGUACCCCAAACCGACACAGGUGGUCAGGUAGAGAAUACCAAGGCGCUUGAGAGAACUCGGGUGAAGGAACUAGGCAAAAUGGUGCCGUAACUUCGGGAGAAGGCACGCUGAUAUGUAGGUGAAGCGACUUGCUCGUGGAGCUGAAAUCAGUCGAAGAUACCAGCUGGCUGCAACUGUUUAUUAAAAACACAGCACUGUGCAAACACGAAAGUGGACGUAUACGGUGUGACGCCUGCCCGGUGCCGGAAGGUUAAUUGAUGGGGUUAGCGGCAACGCGAAGCUCUUGAUCGAAGCCCCGGUAAACGGCGGCCGUAACUAUAACGGUCCUAAGGUAGCGAAAUUCCUUGUCGGGUAAGUUCCGACCUGCACGAAUGGCGUAAUGAUGGCCAGGCUGUCUCCACCCGAGACUCAGUGAAAUUGAACUCGCUGUGAAGAUGCAGUGUACCCGCGGCAAGACGGAAAGACCCCGUGAACCUUUACUAUAGCUUGACACUGAACAUUGAGCCUUGAUGUGUAGGAUAGGUGGGAGGCUUUGAAGUGUGGACGCCAGUCUGCAUGGAGCCGACCUUGAAAUACCACCCUUUAAUGUUUGAUGUUCUAACGUUGGCCCGUAAUCCGGGUUGCGGACAGUGUCUGGUGGGUAGUUUGACUGGGGCGGUCUCCUCCUAAAGAGUAACGGAGGAGCACGAAGGUUGGCUAAUCCUGGUCGGACAUCAGGAGGUUAGUGCAAUGGCAUAAGCCAGCUUGACUGCGAGCGUGACGGCGCGAGCAGGUGCGAAAGCAGGUCAUAGUGAUCCGGUGGUUCUGAAUGGAAGGGCCAUCGCUCAACGGAUAAAAGGUACUCCGGGGAUAACAGGCUGAUACCGCCCAAGAGUUCAUAUCGACGGCGGUGUUUGGCACCUCGAUGUCGGCUCAUCACAUCCUGGGGCUGAAGUAGGUCCCAAGGGUAUGGCUGUUCGCCAUUUAAAGUGGUACGCGAGCUGGGUUUAGAACGUCGUGAGACAGUUCGGUCCCUAUCUGCCGUGGGCGCUGGAGAACUGAGGGGGGCUGCUCCUAGUACGAGAGGACCGGAGUGGACGCAUCACUGGUGUUCGGGUUGUCAUGCCAAUGGCACUGCCCGGUAGCUAAAUGCGGAAGAGAUAAGUGCUGAAAGCAUCUAAGCACGAAACUUGC